rnacentral:rRNA from 1 species
GUCUAUUUGGAGAUAUAAAAAGUUUAACCUGCCCACUGAUUAAUAGUAUUAAAUGGCCGCGGUAUUUUGACCGUGCAAAGGUAGCAUAAUCGUUAGUUUUUUAAUUGGAAUCUUGUAUGAAUGGUUGGACAAGAGAAAGUCUGUCUUUACACUGUUUACUGAAUUUAACUUUUAAGUGAAAAGGCUUAAAUAAAUUAAAGGGACGAUAAGACCCUAUAAAGCUUAAUAUUAAAAUUUUAUUUGGUUGAAUUUUUAAUUAUAAGAACUUAGUAACUAAAUUUAUUUUAUUGGGGUGAUAAGAGUAAAAUGAUUAUUAACUGCUUAAUCUCAAAUACACUUAUAGGUGAUUAAAUUUUUAAAUGAUCCUAAUUAAAGAUUAAAAGUUCAAGUUACUUUAGGGAUAACAGCGUUAUUUUUCUUAAGAGUACUUAUCGAAAGAAAAGUUUGCGACCUCGAUGUUGAAUUAAAAUGUCUUUAUAAUUGCAGCAGUUAUAAGAGUGGGUCUGUUCGACCUUUAAAAUUUUACAUGAUUUGAGUUCAAACCGGCGUGAG